rnacentral:rRNA from 1 species
GAUGAACGCUGGCGGCGUGCUUAACACAUGCAAGUCGAACGGUGAAGGCGGAGCUUGCUCUGCUGGAUCAGUGGCGAACGGGUGAGUAACACGUGAGCAAUCUGCCCCUGACUCUGGGAUAAGCGCUGGAAACGGCGUCUAAUACUGGAUACGAGCUGCGAAGGCAUCUUCAGCAGCUGGAAAGAAUUUCGGUCAGGGAUGAGCUCGCGGCCUAUCAGCUUGUUGGUGAGGUAAUGGCUCACCAAGGCGUCGACGGGUAGCCGGCCUGAGAGGGUGACCGGCCACACUGGGACUGAGACACGGCCCAGACUCCUACGGGAGGCAGCAGUGGGGAAUAUUGCACAAUGGGCGAAAGCCUGAUGCAGCAACGCCGCGUGAGGGACGACGGCCUUCGGGUUGUAAACCUCUUUUAGCAGGGAAGAAGCGAAAGUGACGGUACCUGAAGAAAAAGCGCCGGCUAACUACGUG